GACGAACGCUGGCGGCGUGCUUAACACAUGCGAGUCGAACGGAAAGGCCCUGCUUUUGUGGGGUGCUCGAGUGGCGAACGGGUGAGUAACACGUGAGUAACCUGCCCUUGACUUUGGGAUAACUUCAGGAAACUGGGGCUAAUACCGGAUAGGAGCUCCUGCUGCAUGGUGGGGGUUGGAAAGUUUCGGCGGUUGGGGAUGGACUCGCGGCUUAUCAGCUUGUUGGUGGGGUAGUGGCUUACCAAGGCUUUGACGGGUAGCCGGCCUGAGAGGGUGACCGGCCACAUUGGGACUGAGAUACGGCCCAGACUCCUACGGGAGGCAGCAGUGGGGAAUAUUGCACAACGGGCGGAAGCCUGAUGCAGCAACGCCGCGUGCGGGAUGACGGCCUUCGGGUCGUAAACCGCUUUCGCCUGUGACGAAGCGUGAGUGACGGUAAUGGGUAAAGAAGCACCGGCUAACUACGUG
rnacentral:rRNA from 1 species